rnacentral:lncRNA from 1 species
GGCCAGUUAACUUUUCUGGUGCCAAUGUGAACUUUAAAUGUUUUUAUUUUACCUGCUUUGUGGAUGAAAAAUAUUUCUGAGUGGUAGUUUUCUGACAGGUAGAUCAUGUCUUUUUAUCUUGUUUCAAAAUAACUAUUUCUGAUUUUGUAAAAUGAAAUAUAAAAUAUGUCUCAGAUCUUCCAAUUAAUUAGUAAGGAUUCACCCUUAAUCCUUGCUAGUUGAAGCCUGCCUAAGUCACUUUACUAAAAGAUCUUUGUUAACCCAGUAUUGUAACCAUCUGUCCGCUUACGUAGGUAAAUGUAGACGCCUGGUGUAUAUGGCUUGUAGUUUUAGUGUUGGCUCUCCGUGUUGAGAUUCUUUCUCAGUGUCAUUCUGUGUCCUACAAGUUUCAUGUAGGUUUCGAUGUUAGGAUGGUUAAGAUGUAUAUAGUACAAAAUGUUCAGUCUUUGAUUGUUUUAUGUUUGUUUGUUUUCAUGACUAGUAAUGGUAGUGGAUACUUUAAAAAUAUUUUCUGAAGAUCCUUAAAACCUUGGAAAUUGUAACAUACUGAGAAGAGUGGUUGUUUGAAUAUUUUUAACAACUUGUAUAAGUCAAUAUGAAUACAAUCAAAAGCUAAAGUGCUUCAUAGAACACGGGAUUUACCUUAAGUAAUUAUCAUGAGAGACCUCUUGUAAAGACUGGUCUAUUUUACUACAGAGAACAGUUUGAGAGUGAAACUGUUACAAUUUAGACUUUUUGUUGUAUUUUCUAAGAGAAAGAGUAUUGUUAGGUUCUCCUAACCUCUGUUGACUACUAUGGUAAGUGAUGUUAUUUUAAUUGCAAAUUUAAAUAGAAACCAACAGAAUUAAGUAACUGACUGUCUCUCUCUCUCUCUCUCUCUCUGUCUUCUUCAUGAAAAUCCUUAGUUCUGUAUACUGCCUUCUGCUUAGAUUUAGUUAUAUGAUCAUUAGGUUACAUUUGAUCUAAGUUGACUAAGAUUUCAAUUUCAAUUUAUAUUUCAAGCAUUCUGCCAGGGAAUAGUUUUAAAAAUUGUUUCCAAGGCACUUCAGGUACAAGUCAUAUAGGUAGUUUGUUUAAUCUAGUCCUUAGCCUAGGACUCAAGGACUGAAUGUUUUCAAAUAACACUUUUCUUGUUCUCAGAGCCUCAGUUCAUUAAAACUCUUUUAAAACCUGUGUGCUGAGAGUUAAGCAAGACCUCUUUUCUUGUCUUCAUGAGUUGCGAAAUUGAAUUCAUGGAGCUGAUGUGGCUAACAAGUUUAUUUUAGGAAUUGUUUAGAAAAUGCUGUUGCUUCGGGUUCUUAAAAUCACAGCACUCCAACUCUAAUCAAAUUAUUGGAGACUUAGCAGAGCUGGUCUGAAAUCACACUAAAAAAAAAAAGGUACUGGAUCCUUUCCAGUAUGGUUGUGUAAAAAAUGGUCACUCGGAAGGUCACAGAAUAACCGGCUCUGAAUCACCACCCCUGAGAGAGUUCAGUGUCUGCGUGCUGAUGGUCUUUUGCUGUAUAAAGUUCAUUCUAGAAUUUUGAAGUAACCACCCGUUUUACUACAUAUUAGUCAUGUGAAUUUUGAAGUUAUUUUGUAAUAGUUACUUUCAUUUGUUAUUUACUGUGUUGAUCAAGAUGUGUGUGAGUGUUUAGCAUUUAUUAAAGUAUUGUCUUUCCUCCUAGACUUUUGCCUCUUCCUGUAGUUAGGGGUAGAGGUGAGGUGAGUGGAGUGACUACAAUGUGAUUCGCUGGGGUAGGACAGUUUGUUGUCUUGUUAGUCACAGUGUGUUGCUCUGUUUUUUAUUUUAGUAAGAUUUAUAUUUUGAGCUCUCUGAAUGGAAAGUGCCACUGCAACCUUAGCUGCAUGCAUUGUUCCCAUUAGACCUAAGUCUUCCUGGACUUCUGAGUCCCCAGAUACUGGAUAAAGGAAGAGGAGAGAUGGAGUAGCCUGUCUGUCACUGCUAUGAGAGAAGCAAGAAAGUGGGUAGAGAAAUACUUCACAUUUUAGUCACAUCUUCUCUUUUUAAAAAGGUAGCCAUCAGUGAAGGAAAGAACUAGUCAAAAAUAGGCUUGACAACCUGAAUUCAGAUCCCCAGAACGGGCAUAAAAGCAGCCAGGUCAUGGUUAGUGCACUCCUUUAAUCCCAGCAUUUGGGAGGCAGGGGUAGACAUAUCUGGGUUUGAAGCCAGCCUGAUCUACAGAGUGAGUUCCAGGACAGGGAACCCUGUCUUAUUC